rnacentral:rRNA from 1 species
AGUAACGCGUGAGGAACCUGCCUUGAAGAGGGGGACAACAGUUGGAAACGACUGCUAAUACCGCAUGAAGCAUAGGGGUCGCAUGAUCUUUAUGCCAAAGAUUUAUCGCUUCAAGAUGGCCUCGCGUCUGAUUAGCUAGUUGGCGGGGUAACGGCCCACCAAGGCGACGAUCGGUAGCCGGACUGAGAGGUUGAACGGCCACAUUGGGACUGAGACACGGCCCAG